rnacentral:rRNA from 1 species
UACGAAGGGUGCAAGCGUUAAUCGGAAUUACUGGGCGUAAAGGGUGCGUAGGCGGUUGUUUAAGUCUGUCGUGAAAUCCCCGGGCUCAACCUGGGAAUGGCGAUGGAUACUGGACAGCUAGAGUGUGUCAGAGGAUGGUGGAAUUCCCGGUGUAGCGGUGAAAUGCGUAGAUAUCGGUAGGAACACCAGUGGCGAAGGCGGUCUCCUGGGGCAUUCUUGACGCUGAGGCGCGAAAGCUGGGGGAGCGAACGGG